rnacentral:ncRNA from 1 species
UUGGCUGGGGCGGCACAUCUGCUAAACAUCAACGCAGAUGCUGGAGGUAACUCAGAGAGAACAGAAAUCUCUUGUAGACCGAAAGUUCGCAUUAUUCGGAUUUGUAAGAAUUGCGAAAGCAUGGCCUAUCGAUCCUUUAAGCCCAGAAAGAUUAGUACUGCUCCGCUCUUCUGGUAGUCGCCUGGUGGGAG